GGAGUGGUAGUUCAGUUGGUUAGAAUAUCGGCCUGUCACGCCGGGGGUCGCGGGUUCGAGUCCCGUCCACUCCGCCA
rnacentral:tRNA from 8 species